CGGGGAUAAAAACACGGCCCGGUUGGUAGUCCGGGCGCGGCGCAUGCCGUCAGUAACCUGCCUCCUUGGUUGUCCGUUCCCC
rnacentral:ncRNA from 1 species